rnacentral:rRNA from 1 species
GACGAACGCUGGCGGCGUGCUUAACACAUGCAAGUCGAACGGAAAGGCCCUGCUUGCAGGGUACUCGAGUGGCGAACGGGUGAGUAACACGUGGGUGAUCUGCCCUGCACUUCGGGAUAAGCCUGGGAAACUGGGUCUAAUACCGGAUAGGAGCCAUUUUUAGUGUGAUGGUUGGAAAGUUUUUUCGGUGUAGGAUGAGCUCGCGGCCUAUCAGCUUGUUGGUGGGGUAAUGGCCUACCAAGGCGGCGACGGGUAGCCGGCCUGAGAGGGUGGACGGCAACAUUGGGACUGAGAUACGGCCCAGACUCCUACGGGAGGCAGGAGUGGGGAAUAUUGCACAAUGGGCGCAAGCAUGAUGCAGCGACGCCGCGUGGGGGAUGACGGCCUUCGGGUUGUAAACUCCUUUCGCUAGGGACGAAGCUUUUUGUGACGGUACCUAGAUAAGAAGCACCGGCUAACUACGUGCCAGCCGCCGCAGUAA